CAGCAGCCGCGGGAAUACGAGGGGGGCAAGCGUUGUUCGGAAUUAUUGGGCGUAAAGGGUGCGUAGGCGGUUUGAUAAGUCUUGUGUGAAAUCUCUGGGCUCAACCCAGAGUCUGCACAGGAAACUGUCGGGCUUGAGUAUUGGAGAGGUGAGUGGAAUUUCCGGUGUAGCGGUGAAAUGCGUAGAUAUCGGAAGGAACACCUGUGGCGAAAGCGGCUCACUGGACAAUUACUGACGCUGAUGCACGAAAGCUAGGGGAGCAAACAGGAUUAGAUACCCCGGUAGUCCCUGUCUCUUAUAC
rnacentral:rRNA from 1 species